GACUUCAGUUUAGUUUCUCUGGUGAUUGCCUAAGAAAUGAAUCAACGAUUUAACAGAUUUAGCAAACUGCAGGUCCACAGAAAAGUCUUUCAAAAACUAGAGAACGUGGAAAGAGAACAAAGCAUUCCUUGGAGGUAGAAAUGAGGGAACACUGAUCUCGGCCAAUGUCCUGUUAAUGGGAGCCCAGGUUGAGAGGCUAGGCCGGGGUGUGACCUACCAUCGCUCCCCUGGGGCUGGACUCAGCGUGGAAUUCAGCACUGCUCCCCCAAGGGCCUCGUCAGCUCCAGGAGUUACUGCUGAGCCCGCAGGAUGGAAGGGAAGGAACCACCAUUUGGUAGUGAAACUGAGAGCAAGUGGGGUUAAAAAUGUUCCCCAGGUCCACCAAGUCCAAAGCGACAGAGCCUCUCCAGACUCAGGAAGUCCUGGGCCCUCAGGGGGGGUCUAAAUGCAUGACUGAAAUUCAGAAAGUCAAUUGAUGUCAGCUCGACACCAUAUUGCAUCUGACUCCGGGGCCCAGGGCCUCCAGGUGCGUGGAGAAGCCCAUCUUCCCCAGGACCCAAUGAGAGUCUAAGAAGCUGGGGCAUCCCGGAGCCCAGAACGUGGCCCAUGGACCAUCUGCAUUAGUAGCAACUAGAGAGGAUGUCUAAAUGUAGGUGCCUGGGCCCCAACCAACACAUGGUGUUGGGGAUCCUGGAACUUACACUUUCAACAAGCCGCCAACCUCUCAAGUUUGAGAAUCCCUGUAAACCUCACGCUCCUUGACCUAUCAGGUCCAAGGCUGUUGUCUUCUUGCAA